UAAUAAAUAUCUAGCCACUAGGUAGAGCUUGUGAGCACAUUCAGGAAGCAUUGCCAUGUUGCUAUGGUAGCAUUGUUUUGAUAACCACCAUUUGUUCAGUCAAAGUCUGCCAGCUAAGCUGACACAAAGAAGUACCAUCAUUACUUACAUCCUCUCUUCUUGGCAGUAACUAUUUGAACCAUGUGCAGCACAGCUUGACAUCCAAAUCUCUCAUAUUUAAGUGACAACUUUUACUAAUAUAGUGAAUAAUUUUCUGAGUUUAGUAAUAUCCAGAGAAUUCACCUCAAGAUAAUUGACAAGGAUCUACAAAUUGUGGAAUUUUGAGAAUGCUGCUCCCAGCAGGGUCAGUGUUUCGAUGCUGCUGUUCAUCAUAAAAUUCCUGCAGAGCUGCUAGGGUAUGGGAAGAAAGCUGAGGGACAUCAUCAUCAUCAUCAGAAUCAGCCAUUUCUUAAACUGAUAAUAAAGCAAACAAGAUGGAUGAAAAAUGUACUGUCUCCCAUAAAAUGAAUAAGUGGAUUCAUUCUUUUGUUGGGUUAUACAGUUUAGCUUAUAAGUGUCAUUAAAAAUUACAUUGGUUGGAUAUGUCUCUGCAUA